rnacentral:rRNA from 1 species
UAAUCACUUGUCUCUUAAAUGGGGACCUGUAUGAAUGGCUUUUCACUCUUUCACUGUCUCUCUUCCCUCCCUCCUAAUCUUCUAAUCACGUGAAGAAGCGUGAACAAAUAAGAAAGACGAGAAGACCCUGUCGAGCUUAAGCUAACCCUGAAAUGUCGUCUACCUUUUUUCUUAGAAAGAGGUAAAUUUCAGAUAAAGUUUUGGUUGGGGCAACCGUGGAGAAAAAGAAUCCUCCAGUUAGUUAGGAAGAAAACCUUUCGCCUAAAAAAUUUAGCGACCCAGUUACUCUGGUAAACGGAAAAAGUUACCGCAGGGAUAACAGCGUUAUCUUCUCUAAGAGCCCAUAUUGACGAGAAGGAUUGCGACCUCGAUGUUGGAUUGGGGUAACC